rnacentral:sRNA from 1 species
UAAACAAACAACUGUUGCAACGAAGAA